AAUCAUUUAAGGAUAAAAUAAAUGUUUUAAAAAUAGUUUGAGUUAUUAUAAAUAACUUUUAUAUUUUGGCAAUGAUUUCAUUAAUAAUUUAAUAUUAAUUAAUUAUUAAUGAUAAUAGAAUUGUUUGAUGUUUAAGUCAUAUAAUUAUAAUUCCGAUGUUUGAAAGUGAUAUCCGGUCAAACUAGCUGACUAGAGAACCGGUUAUGAAGUCCAGGAUUUGGUGAAGAGCACCCAUAGUAACAGUUAUAUCACUAUAAGCCUUGAGUGACAGAUUUGAUUUAUUUUAAAUUUUUCAAUUUCUGGAAAAAUUCGAAAAUGAUUAAAAGUAAAAUGUCUGAUAUUUACAGAUGUUGAGGUAUAGAAUAAGAGUCUUAGACUCAGUAUGUACCCGAUAAAGCUGUCGGUACGCCGACAACUGUCGGACCUUAUAAUAGAAAGAAAAGGCUACUGUAAGAACAUGGAUGAGAUAUUUGAAAAAUGUAUAAAAGUAUAGAAUGUGAUGACAUAAUUAGACUAUGUACUGACCAUAAUUGACAGUACUAUGUGUUAUGAUUUAUGUUCUAAUCGGACGAAUGACCUGUUUAUUGAUAGGUUGUGAUAAAGAGAUAAGAUCUAAGUUGAGAUUUGUAAUCAGCAAAUCAGGCAAGUAUCCUACCUUUGCAUUUCCUUUAUGCAAUGGACAUGAGUAAGAAGUUUCAGAAUUAUUCUAUUCCUGUACAGAUUAUGUACGCUUUGAUUAUCAACAUGUUAGCUCAGAUAUAUAUUCUGUUAAGUUGAUUUCUAAAUGGUUAUACAAGUGUCCCCACUUGGAUAAUCAUGGCAUUUAUUCACAUGUUGAUAUACCAUGUCAAUUACCCGUAUACAUAUAUGUUGAAUUACAUAUUAUUGUUGAGCAAGAUUAAAAACCUUCGGGUUUGGAACCAGGCAUGUAUGAACAUCCCGAUAAUGGGAAAAUUUUUAUGCGCUUCGGCGGACAAAGGAUGAGCGAUGAAUGUCGUUCUAGUUAUGUAGUAUUGAUCAAUACAGGGUACAACGGGGCUGAUCACCCUCCGUGCCCGUAAGUUAUGACGGUUUGUGGAUGAAUUUCUGCUAAACCUUUUCGAAAAUGAAAAAGAAUGUUCAUAGUAUGUUUCUUAAACCCUAUUCAUGGGUAGAGCCUCAUUUCAAGAAUUUGAAAGAGAGUUGUUAUGUGAAUCUUUUAUCAGUACAGAUUACUUCACAACUUUUGAUUCGUUGUAGAAGUGUUAUGUAAAGGGAAUACUUAUAUUCUUUCAGCUUAUAUAUAUAAUUGCUAUUACUUGCUGGGCACUCAAAUGCUCAUCCUUGCUUAAAUCAAAUGUUUUCAGUUAUGUAUGAGCAACCUGAAGGCUCAGGCACGAACAAAGGAAAAGGAAAGCUGAUCGAAUAAGUGUGUAUUAUGAGUUAAUGGUUAUAGCUGUAUGGAUAUCUAUUCAAGUAUUGUAAGGAAUGUAUUUGAAGGUCUCGUACCUGGGAAGUAAACUUUGAUGUAUGUAAAUUAAGUUUGAAUGUAAUAUUACUACUGUAUUAUUCAGCUUAUAGAAAUGGUAUCGUGAAGCACUGAGUUCGGGUUUCAAGUAUCCGGAUUUGGGGGCGUCACAAUUACCGCUACGUAAUUUAAUUUAUUCUCUUUAUUGAAAAGACCUAUCAGGUAUAAGAUUGAUCUUUCAAUUAGCAUAUCAUACCUUAUUCCAUAAUACUAUCUAACACUUAAUCACAUAGUCACAUAUUAGAUAAUCUUACCACCAUAUUCAUUUACUUACUUAUAAUCUCAUCAUCUUAUAUUAACUUGUCUAACCUUCACUCACAAAGUUAAGUAUUAGACAUUACACCUUAGUCUUAGUAUUAUCAUUAUACUUUGAUAAUCUUUUCAUCACUUAUAACCUAUACUUAUAAGUUUUUCCUUUAUAUGUUAUCUUAGUAAGCUAGAUAACCUUUCAGUAAACUGAAAUAUCAUUUCAGUAAAUCGGAUUACAUUUAAGCAUCCUGAAAUUACUAUUUCAGCAGACCACAAAAUAUUUCAGUAGACUGAAACCAUUUCAGCAAUCCAAAAUCCAAUUUAGCACCCUGAAUUCUCAUUUUAGUCUAUUACAAGCAUAACAUAGUUCAUUGAAUACCAAAUUCAACAAUUAUAUUGAAAAAUAAUAUAAAUCUCUUAUUUUAAUCUCCCGUCAAAUAUUAUUAAUUAUGUAAUAAUAUUUAACGCUACGGUUAUUAACCUUUUAAUAACAUUCCAGUCAAAUACUACUAAUAAUAUCUUAAUCCAAUAUUAUUAGUCAUAUAAAAAAAUAAUUGAAGUCAUUAAUCACAUUAAUAUACAAUUUAGUUCAAUUGUUUUUCUUUCCUUAAUUAACUCAUUAAACAUUCUAAAAUGCCAUAAACAUCACAACUGUAACAACCCGAUAUUUUCUAUACAAAUAAAUUAGAAAUUCUGCGUAUAAAUUUUUUAUUAGUAUUUUAAAUAUGGGGAAUAUGUGCCAAGAUAAUGUGUGUAUUAUUUAUGUGAUAUAUUUAUUACAUGAAUGAUUUUAAAUAAUAUUAUUUUAGAAUUAUUGAUUAUUAUAAAUUAUAUUUUUAUAAUAAUUAAUUUUAUAGCAGAAAUGUUUUUAUUAAUUAUUUUCCAUGAAAAUAUAAUCAUAUAUUAUUUAUAUAAUAUAUGAAAUAAUUUUUAGAAUUAUUAUAAUAAUUACUUUAUUAUAUGAAUUUUAGUACAGAUUAUUAAUUAAUCAUUUUAAUUUAAUUAAUAAUGUUAAGUAUGACAGAUAAAUCAGAUAUGGAAUCCAAACCAUAAUUUUAUAUUUUGAUCAAGGAAUGAGAAUAAUAAUAUAAUAUUAUUUAUAUUUUGAUUUUUCAGUACUAUAAUUAUAUACUGUAGGUAUGUGGACUGACAAUGAUUGAUCAAAUAUGAUGUAUUAUGUCAAACCCUAGUUUUAAUGUGGAAACCCUAAUUUGAAACUCAAUUGCGAGUUCAUGACUAUUAUAUAACUGUGUUGUAUGAUUUUGCGAUUAACUAGGUCAACCCUAAUUAGCAUUUAUAUAUAUAUAUAUAUAUAUAUAUUAAUUUCUUAAAAUCCUAAUUAUUAAGUAUAAACCCUAAUUUUGAUUUGUUAACCCUAAUUACCAAAAAUUCUAAAUCCUAAUUGCUAAAUUAGCAAGGAUAAUUAUAAUUAUUAUAUAAUAAACCCUAAUGUUCAUGUAUGAUUAGAACCUUAAUCAAAUUAAGAAAACCCUAAUUAUAAAUUUUUCAAACUAAUUAUAUUUUAUUUUAAACCCUAAAUAAAUAAUUUGGGUAGCAUAUAUUAAAAUUGUUAGACUAUGAUUAUUACAUGGCCCAAAAUAAUUAUGGGAGAAGCCCAAAAAGAAAUCAAAUUCAAGCCCAAACUUAGCCCACAUAACCAAGGAUAUUCUAGACCUUUGAUUUAUCUAAUUUAUGCAUUAAAAUAAAAGCUAUAUAAAGGAAUUAGUGGCCGGCCACAAUAGGCCUUUUAAGGCAACAAAUUAGGCUAAUCAAGUUUCCUUAAAUAGUCACUGUUACAUCAAGUACAUAGGUGUCAAUCUCCCUUUGGUUGAAAAUCUACUUAGCACCCUUAAUCACAUGAUUAGGCUUACUUGGAAGAGAUAAGGUGAAGCUUUUUAUCCAUGGGAUAACAAGUGUAUGGGGGAUAAUAGCUAAAUCCCACAUUUGCUAGACUUCUAUAAAUAGAUUAGAGAGAAAUAAACCAUUUGCUUGCUCAUUUUGUGCACACACCCUCAACCAAUCUCUCUCAACUCAUAACCCACAAAAUUCUUUGCUAAGACCAGUCCAAAACAAAGCCCCACCAUUACCAUUAACAAAUCACAAGAUCAGAAUCAAGAAAUCAAAGUUUAAAGGUAUAAAACCCUAGAUUGAUUUUUGUCCAUAAAUUCUGUGUUAGAUGUUAUGUUUGAGUGUUAGAAUAUGUUGGUUAUAGUGUCUAAUGAUGAUCUGGGUUGCUAAAUAUUGGAUCCAUAACAUUUAGAAGCUCAGAUUUGAAGAUUUGCAAAAUCUGGAAAAAAUUGGUUAUAUGGUCUAACAACGAAUGUCAGUGGCCACAGAUCCUUGCUCGAUUAUGUUUUUGUUGUUUUUAAGUUUUAAUGUGUAGCUUGUAGUAUGGUCUUUAAUCUGCAAAAAGAAUCUGGGUCAUAUGAUGUCUAGAAUGAAAGUUAUUAACGGUCAAAUAUCGUUGAUCGGCAUUGACCGGAAGAAAUCUGGGCAGCCUAGAUUAUGCCCAGAUCGUGUCUGACAAGAUUUUGAUCGGCUAGAUCUGUCCGUGUAUACAUGUUUUGGUUCUGUUGUUGUAAUAUAAUAGUAGCUUGGUAUGAGUACUACAAGCUUAUGCCUUAAAAUAGCUUUAAUAUCAAACGUAUUGAACGUAGUGAAUGGUCAAAGCAGGCCACUCGGUCACAGUUGUAUUUUCUGGAAUUUCCAGAAAUGUCAAGAACAUAUAUUCUGACAGCCUUUGACCGAUCAAUAUCUUGCUAUUGUUUUGUUGUUAUGGUUAUGUUUUGUGAUAGAUCUGUAGUGUUACAUGUGGGCUAGAAUCUAGAAGUCAUCACUAAAAUAUUAAACGAUCAGAUUGUAGUAGAGGCUCAAAGUAUGACCCAUGGUCUGUUCUUCAUUUCUGGGUAACCUAGAAAUGAAGAACAGUCCUGACAUCAUUUUUGAAGGCAUAGAUCUAGUUUAUUUCAUGCUUGUUAGCUAUGUUUGUUGCUGGAUCUUGUAGACUGACAUUAGCUUUAUACGAUUUAAUCAACAACAUGAUCAGAAACACUUUGUGCUAAGAAUUAUUCGUGGUCAAAUCUGCUUGCUUGAUAACUGGCUAUGAAGGUUCUGGGUUUUCAUGAAGAACACAUAUAGCGACGGUUCUGUCGCUAUAGGUGGUCUUUAGUGACAGAUUAUUUAUAAAAAUCAUAUUUUUAUUAAAUAAUUAUAGAAAAUUAGUUUUUAAUUAUUAAAAAUACAUAAUAAAUUAUUAAAAUUAUUUUAAAGUCCGAAAAUUAUAUUUUAAUUAUUUUGGAUAUAUUUCACAAAUAUUUAAUAUUUUUGGAAUAUUAAAGGUAGUUAAUUUAUUUAAUAAUUAUAUUAAAUAAAUUAUUUAAAAAUGAUUUUAAUACUUGAAAAAUCAUUUACAAUUAUAUUAUGGAAUAAGAAAAUAUUUUAAGUUAUUUUUAAUAAGUUUUAAUAUUUUAUGGUGAAUUUCAUUAACUAAUGAUAUUAAAGUUAUUUAGUAAUUAUAUUAAAUAAUCUAGUUUAAAAAUGAUUUUAAUAUUAUAAAAAUUAUUUUAAAUGAAAAUAAAGUGUUUAAAGGUAUUUUAAGUUAUAAAAUAUAACUUUUAAUAUUUAAAGGAUAAUUUCAUUAAUAAUGGAAUAUUAAUGAUAUUUAUUUAACAUUAAUGAUAUUAAAUUUAUUUAGUAAUUAUAUUAAAUAAAUAGUUUAAAAUGGUUUUAUUGAUUUAAAAAUCAUUUAAAAGGGAUAUAAAUGAAUUAAAAAUAUUUUAAGUUAUAAUUAAUGACUUUUAAUAUUGGAUAAAUAGUACGUUAAUAUUUAAAUAUUAAUGGUAAUUAUUUAUAAAUGAUCUUAAAUGUUUUAAAAGUCAUUUAAGGGUAAUAUUACUACUUUAAAAAUAUUCUAAAUUAUUAUAAAUAACUUUAAUAUUUUGGCAAUGGUUUCAUUAAUAGUUUAAUAUUAAUUAAAUAUUAAUGAUAAUAGAAUUGUUUGAUGUUUAAAUCAUUUGAUAAUGAUUCCGGGUUUGAAAAUUUAUGAUAAAUUAUAAAAAAAUGUUUAUUGAGUCAUUUAGAAUAAUAUGACUGAUAUUUACAGAUAUUGAGUUACAGAAUAGAGUCUUAGACUCGAUAAUUACCCGAUAAAGCUGUCGGUACACCGACAUAUUUUAGGAAUUGAUCUGGACUUAGAUAUUUUGACUGUAUUAAUGUUUGUUUGUGAUGCAAUGACUGUUGAACAUGUGUGAUAAUGUGAUUAGGUUAUGUGCUGACUGCAAAAUGCAGUACUAUAUGUUAUAGUAUAUUGUUCUAAUCGAACGAAUGAUCUGAUUAAUGAUAGGUCGUGAUAUAAAAGAUAAAACUAAUUUGUUUAUUGUAAGCAGUGCAUCAGGCAAGUAUCCUACCUUUGCAUUUCCUUUAUGCAAUGGACAUGAGUAAGAAUGUUUCAGAAUUAUAUUAUUACUGUCAGAUUAUUAACCCUAUAUUGUAUAUGCUCAUUAAUUAUCAACAUGUUAGUAUAUGGUAAUUCAGAUAUAUAUUCUGUUCGUUAAAUUCUAGAAAUGGUUAUUCAAGUGUCCCCACUUGGAUAAUCAUUGCAUUUGAUCACAUAUUGAUACACCUUUGUCAAUUACCCGUAUAUAUAUGUUGAAUUAUUAGAUUAUUGUUGAACAAGAUAAAACCUACCAUUAUCCAACUGAAUUGCUUUGGUUUGGAACCCCGACAGGUAUGAACAUCUCAUUCAUUGGAAAAUUUUUAUGUGCCCAAGGCAGCCAAAGUGAACGAUAAUAUCGUUCUUGUUAUGUAAUAUUGAUUAAUACAGGGUCCAUGAGAUGUACACCCUCGUGCCCGUAAGUUAUGACGGUUUAUAAAUGAAGUUAUGUUAAACCUUUUCGAAAAUGAAAACAAUGUUCAU
rnacentral:lncRNA from 1 species